rnacentral:rRNA from 1 species
UACGGGGGGAGCAAGCGUUGUUCGGAAUCACUGGGCGUAAAGGGAGUCUAGGCGGUUUGGUAAGUGGGAUGUGAAAUGCCCGGGCUCACCCCGGGACCUGCAUCCCAAACUGCUGAGCUUGAGUACAGGAGAGGGUGGGGGAAUUCCAGGUGUAGCGGUGAAAUGCGUAGAUAUCUGGAGGAACACCGGUGGCGAAGGCGCCCACCUGGCCUGCUACUGACGCUGAUGAGCGAAAGCUAGGGGAGCAAACGGG